AACACUGUUAACCUGCGGUACCUGCGGAAGGAUCAUUACAGAGUGUUUAACCCCCUAUAAAAUGGUGGGUCUAACCUCCCGUCCUUUGCUGGGUCCCCCUUCUGGAGGACUUUCAAAACUUUCUGCUUCGGCGGGGCAUACCCGCCGGAACACCCUCAAAAAAUUCUUGAUCAAAAUGGUUCGGUCCGAGAAACUUUUUGUGAAAAUUAGCGAAAAACUUUUAACAAUGGAUCUCAGAUC
rnacentral:misc_RNA from 1 species